AGCGAACGCUGGCGGCAGGCCUAACACAUGCAAGUCGAACGAACACUUCGGGGUUAGUGGCGGACGGGUGAGUAACACGUGGGAACGUGCACUUAGGUUCGGUAUAACUCAGGGAAACUUGUGCUAAUACCGAAUGUGCUCUUCGGGGGAACGAUUUAUCGCCUUUGGAGCGGCCCGCGUCAGCUUAGCGAGUUGGUGAGGUAAAGGCUCACCAAGGCGACGAUCAGUAGCUGGUCUGUGAGCAUGAUCAACCACAGUGGGACUGAGACACGGCCCACACGCCUACGGGAGGCAGCAGUGGGGAAUCUUGCGCAAUGGGGGAAGGCCUAACGCAGCCGUGUCGCGUAAAUGAGGAAGGUGUUAGGAUUGUACAUUUGUUUGACCGGGGACGAUAGUGACGGUAACCGGAGAAGAAGCCCCGGCUAACUACGUG
rnacentral:rRNA from 1 species